CACAUACAACUCUUAUGGACAGGUGGCUACUGGAACUGAGCUGUGGUGGUCCCUUAAAUUGAAAGGUAUUCAAGAUGAUUCAGUAGUCUCAACGUGGAUCAGCUCAGAUCCUGACAGUUAAGCGUGAUAGCGGGGGACACUGUCUUCGUACCUGGAACGCCGGAAGAACCCGCACUGCACACGGGAGGAAAGGAACAGUUUAGCUGUGAGUUGCUGCCAAAGUACUACAAUUAUAGAAGCAGUAAAUUCUUCCUUCACACAAAUAGGCAGGGAGAAGACAUUUCACAUGAACAAAUGAAUGAGGUGAUCCUGUUCUCAUUAAAGCAUUGAAAGGUUGUUUAAAAUAGCUGCAAUGCAAUCUUUGAAGGGCCCUGCGACUUUCCUGUAUACCCAACACACCAGUAAUAGCAAUGGAAAGGAAGAUGGAUAAUAGCCCUGUCAUUCCUUUAAUUGUGUUCAAGAAUGAUUAUAUAGUAAAGGUUAUUUCAUUA